CUGUGUCUUUCCCUCAGAUCCUAAGCUCCAUCAUGGUCCCCUACCUGGCAACUUCAACCAUAUCCCUGAUUCUCUUCUUGCUGGCCAGUGGCUCCCUGCCCCCUUCUCAAGACAGGACAAAAGCACCGCAUGCUGGGACUCGGUCUCCCCGGGUGUUCUGGCUUCCCUCCCGUUAGCGACGGUGGCAGCAGUGCAGACAGAUUGAGGCCCCAAGAAGGCGGACUCCCCGACUGCGCAGCAGCAG
rnacentral:lncRNA from 1 species